GGCAUCUUGCAGCAUGGAAAAUUACUAAAAGCCCCAGCACUGAAGCCGAAAAGUGGUAGGGAUUGAGUGGUCAGAUUACGGACGGGUGGACGCACCCUGCUGAAUUUGUAGGGCCUGCAACCUAUCCAGUCAGUCGUUACCAGAGGGAGUAGGGUUCAAGAGAGGGGUUGAGAAAUGAAUUUAUCAACUUAAAAAUCAUCAGAGUUGAAGUCACUGGUGUGGGUGAGGUCAUCAAAAGAGGAAAUAUAGAGACUGAAGAGAAAAAGGCUGAGCAUGGAAACUUGGGGAACAUCACCAAUGUUAAAGAAUGGGCAGAAGAGGAAGCAUUAGUGGAAACUGAGGCAGAAUCCUCAAAGAUAUGGGAAGAUAACUAAGAGAAGUUAUUAUGAGAUUGACCAAAGGAGGAGAAAAUGUCAAAAGAGGGAAGUCAACAGUGUCAAAAACCAAAGGGAAACCAAGUCUAAGAACUUAAAUCAUUGGUUUUGUUAUUUAGGAGGUCCCUGGUGACCGCAAAAGAGUAUAGUGAUGGAGGCAAAAGCCCAGUUUUAGUGAUAGUUUAAGUGAUAAAUGAGAAAAUAAAAGUAAAGAAGACGAACAACACAAUGGAGAAAUUUGGCAGUGAAGCAGAAGAGAAAGCAUGGUGGCCACAGGAAAGAGUGGGGCAGAAGAAACUGCCCUAAGACCAGCUGACGUGAAUGUGCUUGGAGGUUAAUGAGAAAGAGCCACUGAAGAGCGAAAGACAGAUGAAAGAAGAAUGAGUGGUUCUGACAGCUUCAAGGGACGUUGGGAGGGGAAAGGAUCAAGAGCACAUACUGAGUCUUGGAUACUGAGUCUUGGAAAUGAAUAGAACACAUCUUCUUCUGAGACAGUUGGACCUCAGGAAAGAAAGUGCAGAUGAUUUCUGAAUGGUGGUCGAGGGGGAUGAUUUCCAGAGGACCACAGUGAGAUGAGGGUUUAAGGAGACAGGUAAAGGUUUUUACUGCUAGAGCAGUUGCUGAAAGAGAAAAGGAAACUCAAACCUACUAAAUCUUCUACUAAAGAUUUAUAAAGGACUCCCUGGGCAGUAUUAAGGGGACAGAAAGACUGCUAAUAUAAUGAUGGAGAUGAGCACCAACACAGUGGAGAGUUUUUUUCUCCAGCAGCAACACAUACACCGAGGACAUGAGAAAAAACAAGGUCUUCCUGGCUCUUGUGAUUGAAAUUUAUUUGAGAGAGAGUUCACACGAGCAUGAGCAAGGAAGGGACAGAGGAAGAUGGGGAGAGAGAAUCUCAAGCAAACUCGCUGCUGAGCGCAGAGACCUAACUCAGGGCCGGAUCCUGAGAUCAAGACCUGAGCUGAAACCAAGAGUGGGACGCUUAACCAGGCACCUCAAGGUAUUUCAUCUGGUUACUACAGGAAAAAAAGGAAAUUUCAGAAAAAUUUAAAAAGUUUGUUGGUUGCCUCAGGAGAAGAGAGGCUAUGAGAACAUAUUCUCUUCCACAAUGGAUCAGAAAAUUAAAAAAAAAAAAACUCAGAAGCAAUAAAUAGUACAAACUUCGGAUCCCUCAAGAUGCUGCCUUAGGAUCCAUCAUAUGAGAGAGCUGAAAGAGAACAGGAGGAGGAUACAGUCUUCACUGUGUUCAGAGCCCAACAUGGGGCUCCAUUUCAUGACCCUAAGAUCAUGACCUAAACUGAAACGAAAAAUUGGACGCUUAACUGACUGUGUCAUCCAGG